rnacentral:lncRNA from 1 species
UUAGUGCCACCUAUAUAUGUUGCCUCUACUUGUUGUUUUUGUGGUUCUUUUUCUUCACAAGGGUUGCCUGAUAUUACUGCAAUGAGCUUAUGGGGCACCAACCCCUCUUUUAAUGCAUGACACUAGUUGCUUCAAAUUUUACAAGAGUUGUCUGAAAUUAUAGCAAAGUUGCUGCAUGUUUUUUACUUUUUCAUAGGGGAUGCAUGCUAUUUUUUACUGCAAGGAACUCAUAUGGGGCAGUAGACCUUUUUUACGUGCCUGAUAGUAGUUGGACUCAUUGGAUGGUUAAAAGUGUUAGAGAGGUCGAUUCCGAUAUUUUGGGGCGUUUUGGUGAUCCACGUUGGAGUUGUGGUAGGCGAUUUAGAGGUGAAGUUAGUCAAUUGAUAAUCAUGGUAACCAACUUAUAAGGAUAAUCAUGGUAAUCACACUAUAGUUGCCUAUGUUAGAGAAUAUAUAUGCAUUAGUGCCACCUAUAUAUGUUGCCUCUACUUGUUGUUUUUGUGGUUCUUUUUCUUCACAAUGGUUGCCUGAUAUUAUUGCAAUGAGCUUAUGGGGCACCAACCCCUCUUUUAAUGCAUGACACUAGUUGCUUCAAAUUUUACAAGAGUUGUCUGAAAUUAUAGCAAAGUUGCUGCAUGUUUUUUAUUUUUGCAUAGGGGAUGCAUGCUAUUUUUUACUGCAAGGAACUCAUAUGGGGCAGUAGACCUUUUUUUACGCGCCUGAUAGUAGUUGGACUCAUUGGAUGGUUAAAAGUGUUAGAGAGGUCGAUUCCGAUAUUUUGGGGCGUUUUGGUGAUCCACGUUGGAGUUGUGGUAGGUGAUUUAGAGGUGAAGUUAGUCAAUUGAUAAUCAUGGUAACCAACUUAUAAGGAUAAUCAUGGUAAUCACACUAUAGUUGCCUAUGUUAGAGAAUAUAUAUGCAUUAGUGCCACCUAUAUAUGUUGCCUCUACUUGUUGUUUUUGUGGUUCUUUUUCUUCACAAGGGUUGCCUGAUAUUACUGCAAUGAGCUUAUGGGGCACCAACCCCUCUUUUAAUGCAUGACACUAGUUGCUUCAAAUUUUACAAGAGUUGUCUGAAAUUAUAGCAAAGUUGCUGCAUGUUUUUUACUUUUGCAUAGGGGAUGCAUGCUAUUUUUUACUGCAAGGAACUCAUAUGGGGCAGUAGACCUUUUUUACGUGCCUGAUAGUAGUUGGACUCAUUGGAUGGUUAAAAGUGUUAGAGAGGUCGAUUCCGAUAUUUUGGGGCGUUUUGGUGAUCCACGUUGGAGUUGUGG